AGUGGCUUUCAGAUAGAAUGUGGUAACUCCACCUCUGCACCCUGAAACCCAUUAUUUCCACUGCAUGCGCUAACACACUCUCCUCAAGUUAUGCUGUGCUCACCUCUGGUUAUAUUAGAUAUAUUAAGCCUCUGAAGCAGAUAAGAAAUUCCACUUCCACAGUACUGGUUGACUGUGCAUCCUCCACUCAGGCCGGUCAUGUUCGAUGUAACCUCUGAGGCAGAUGAAGUAUUCUGCUGCUAUGGGAACGCCCUGAGGAGAUUCACCAAGUCUGGAUCCAUGAACAAGGUCUUUACCAAGAUCAAGAUUGACUGAAACACAAUUGCAAGAACAGCUGUAAUUGCUGAGCUAGCGAUCAAAUAUCCGGACACCAUCAAGGAGCUGCUACCUGGAGACGAAGAUAACGAGAAGAUCUCCCAGUUCACAGAGCUAUGGAGGAAGGCUAUAACAAAGGAGAUGGCUAAAAUGAUCACAGUAAGGAAAAAAAGUGGAAAACUCCUCCUGAUAAUGUAAAGUACACUUAAGAACAUUUGGAAGGACAUUGGUUUUUUUUUUUCAAUUUAAAGAACAAGUUAUCCUGUUUUGUUUUUCCCAAAGUACAAAAUGUACGUGCUGAGAAUAUGUCAGAAUCCUCAGAGGAGGAACAAGUAAUCCAAGUCAACAGGUUUAUUUCCAAAGUGUAUUAUUGUGUAAGUACAAUUAAAGAAAAACCAUCUCUUGA